UACGGGGGUGGCAAGCGUUGUUCGGAUUGAUUGGGUGUAAAGGGCAUGUAGGCGUCCUGGUAAGUCGAACGUGAAAUCCCGCAGCUCAACUGCGGAACUGCAUUCGAAACUGCCGGGAUUGAGUACGGAAGGGGAGAAUGGAAUUCCCGGUGUAAGAGUGAAAUCUGUAGAUAUCGGGAGGAACACCAGUAGCGAAGGCGAUUCUCUGGUCCGAUACUGACGCUGAAAUGCGAAAGCUAGGGGAGCAAACAGGAUUAGAUACCCCAGUA
rnacentral:rRNA from 1 species